rnacentral:rRNA from 1 species
CCUACGGGGGGCAGCAGUGAGGAAUAUUGGUCAAUGGGCGCGAGCCUGAACCAGCCAAGUCGCGUGAGGGAAGACGGCCCUACGGGUUGUAAACCUCUUUUGCCGGGGAGCAACGGGCGCCACGUGUGGCGCCACUGAGAUUACCCGGAGAAAAAGCACCGGCUAACCCCGUGCCAGCAGCCGCGGUAAUACGGAGGAUGGGAGCGUUACCCGGUUUUAUUGGGUUUAAAGGGUGCGUAGGCGGGGCGUUAAGUCAGUGGUCAAAUCGAGGGGCGCAACCCCUCCCCGCCGUUGAAACUGGCGCUCUUGAGUGGGAGAGAAGUAUGCGGAAUGCGUGGUGUAGCGGUGAAAUGCAUAGAUAUCACGCAGAACCCCGAUUGCGAAGGCAGCAUGCCGGCUUCCUACUGACGCUGAGGCACGAAAGCGUGGGGAUCGAACAGGAUUAGAUACCCUAGUAGUC